GGUGACCAGCUAUUUCACGUUCCAAGACAGCUCCAUAUCUGGAGCAAGUUCGGCACCUCACUGCUUCUAUAACUCUUCAACAUUUAUCUCUCGUUGGUUCUUUUCCCAGAAGGAAAGAAACGAUAAAACUUGUGAAUGACGCAUACUUCAAAAUGCAGCUCCAAAACAAUAGAUUCGUUUCCAAUUUUCACUGUUUUUCUUUAACCGGUAGCCGAGAUUUCAACGGGACAGCCACGGUGUUUUUAGAGGACAGUUCAAAAUAGCCGCAGCUAUACCCAGAUUCACUCAAGCAAGGUUUUGCCAACUGAUGUGAAAGUAUUUAAACAGACGUUACACUUGUUUUUAAAAGAAAGGCGCACAGAGUUCUGUCCUGAAGGACUAAUGAGAAACUGUAGUGACCACACCCCCACAGGGUGAAGAAUGACAACAUUGGAACCUGUCACAUGAUGGGAAUCAUAUGAUAGAUUUGAUGUGGCUGUCGGUCGAAUUUUCAUUUGUGUCAUCAAAGUGUGGACAAAAACACAAGGAGAGAGGACUAAAACAGGCAAAGCUGAUAGAGUCACGGUGGAAGAGGAAGAGGAAGAGUGCUAUUCGCUCGUUGAAGUUUCCAGCGGCUAAGAGACAGAAUAGGGGAGGCAACAUGAGACACUCGGAGCUAACGUACUCGCUUCUCGCCGUGAUGUCCUCUCUGGGGCUAGUGCUUGGUCAGGUCAGCACUCCAUCAGUUGGCCCUAUGGCUGCACUUGCUUCUCCACGGGUAACUGACUCACCUAAUGGCUUCAACGUCCCCACCAGCCUGACACAGAGAAUUGUCAUCACGUCAACUGAUGUACCAGGAACUGUCACAUCGGGAAUUUCAAAUUGUACAGCUUUGAACACCUCUAAUUGUGCUGUGUGUUCUGCGGGGUAUUUCUCAAAUAAUGGAUCCUUGAACUGCUCCUGUUGUUCUGACGGCUUCUGCCUUGCUCCAGAAGACUGUCUGAGCUGUCCACAGGGUUACUACCAGUCUCGGACUGGACAGAUGACAUGUUUGCCUUGUUCAAAAGGUACUUAUACGAAUUCCACAGGGAGUACAGAAUGUCAAUCCUGUGAAUCUGGGUUUUAUGCCAAUGAAACGGGUUCAAAAUUGUGCAGACCGUGCCUUCCAGGUUACUUUUCAGAGAUGAAUGCUACUGGCUGUGAGUCCUGUUCUCGAGGAUUAUUUUGCAACGCAACUCAAUGCGACAAGUGUACAAAGUGCCCUGGUGGGGAGGAAGCCCUGACGACUGCAGCAACAGAGUGCACACCAUGUCGACCAGGAAUGUACAAGCAGCCAGAAGAUUUACUUUGCAAGAUGUGUAAGACUGGGUACUACCAGACAUUGGUUGGACAGGAGAGUUGUGACCUGUGUCCUGAGCAACAUUAUUGCCCUAGUCCAGAUGUUGCUCCAAUCCAAUGUCCAGUUGAUGCAUUUUGCCCACCUGGAAGUACUGCGCCUCAGUACUGCAUGGAAACAUUCUUCCGGAAGUCGGGAGAUCACUGUGUGCUGACACCGUUGACCAUCUUCCUGCUUGUGUUCCUUUCGUUAAUUAUUUUGCUGAUUACUGUAAUAAUUUUUCGUCGCAAGAAGAAAGUCAGACAGGUAGACCCUGUGCGCUCCCCGUUACUGAGGAAAGAGCCAUUCUCUGGUCAGGAGCCUCAUCCGCCUUACGGAAUCACGUGGGAUAGAGAACCAGUAUAUGCAGGAUGGUAACAACGGCUUUGUGGUUCUUCUGGUACCAGGAAUAGGCUCAUAACUAGUACAUGAGAAGGUGGAAUGACUGCUACUUAUUGUACUUCCACUUUAUUUGAAUGCAGUUUGACAGUUCUUCUAAGAUAGUUACUGAAUCACAUAUAUAGCGAUAUGGAAGUGAAAGUGUGGAAGAUCACUUUAGAUUUUAUAUUUGGAACCAUCAUUGUCCAAAUUAUGUAUUUUCCCCUCGUAAACUGGAUUUUAAAUUUUGUCUUGUAAAACAUUUUAUGUACAAUAUUGUUAAUGUGGAAUGAUUAAAUGUAAAUUUGUAGAUUAAGAUUGUGGUUAACGUAUAUUGAAAAGCUGUGGUAAUAACUUGUAUAGAUGAGUGAGAACAGUGUUCUUUCCCUUGUCCCAUGAAUAGUUUUUCAAGUAUGGAAGGGACUAGUCAACAGCAAACAUACAGUUCUUUUGUCAUUGAUGUGAAGUGCCUGGGUUACCCUCAUUCCAUCUUUAGUUGAUGUCCACUUAUUAUGUGAAAGGUUUGGGCUGCAGACAAACAAUUAAAAGAUAGCACUGCAUCCAGAUAUAAUAUAGAGUGAGGUUAGACAUUCAGGCUGGUGUCUGAUACACUGCUGAGAAUGUGAGAAAUUGUAGAUACACCACCAGAAUUGGAUGUGGUAAACCUUUUGAGUUAAUAGUAACUUGGCAGGCACUGAAUGGACUUCAUUGGCAAAAGCAGGUGACCUGAAUUUCUUUCUUUCUUUGAACAGAAUCUCUUCUUUUGCUCCAUCCCUCCCCACACCAACCUAUUUGGACUUAAACACGCACACUCUUCAAAUCUUGUGAUACACAAUUUAUUCUGUCUGAUUUUGUUAACACAAAACAUUGAACUCAAUGUAUUAUUUGUAUUGUUUAUCUUAUAGGACAUUAAAAAUUUUUUAAUGGUUUGCCAUCUGUAUGUUUUGGGAGGAGAGAUUUGAGUUUGCUAGUAUGUAAUCUCAGUAUGAGAAGAUGAAAUUAACAGCAGUAAAGAUACUGGUGUUUGCAUGUUUAGCUGAACUUGCACAAUCAAAUUCUCAAUGCCUCAAGUAAUAUUAGCACUGUUUAUACACUUUUUUAAAAAAUGAAGAGAUUGAAAUGUGGAAGCGAUAGUUCUCUAACUCUGAUUUUUAAAUGCUACUGUCUGUAAUGCUGACUGUUCACUAAAGUGCCUUCAAUCCUGUGUUUAAAGAGUUUGUUGAUUUGAAAUGUAAUGAGUUUUAGAAAUGAAUGCUGUGCAACCAAAAUUAAAAGGACUUAAACAA